rnacentral:rRNA from 1 species
CUGUAGCUCACGACGCCUUGCUUAACCACACCCCCACGGGAAACAGCAGUGACAAAAAUUAAGCCAUAAACGAAAGUUUGACUAAGUUAUAUUAAUUAGGGUUGGUAAAUCUCGUGCCAGCCACCGCGGUCAUACGAUUAACCCAAGCUAACAGGAGUACGGCGUAAAACGUGUUAAAGCACCAUACCAAAUAGGGUUAAAUUCUAACUAAGCUGUAAAAAGCCAUGAUUAAAAUAAAAAUAAAUGACGAAAGUGACCCUACAAUAGCCGACGCACUAUAGCUAAGACCCAAACUGGGAUUAGAUACCCCACUAUGCUUAGCCCUAAACACAGAUAAUUACAUAAACAAAAUUAUUCGCCAGAGUACUACUAGCAACAGCUUAAAACUCAAAGGACUUGGCGGUGCUUUAUAUCCUUCUAGAGGAGCCUGUUCUAUAAUCGAUAAACCCCGAUAAACCUCACCAAUUCUUGCUAAUACAGUCUAUAUACCGCCAUCUUCAGCAAACCCU